GCCAGGUGUGGUGGUGCACACCUGUAAUCUCAGACACUCGGGAAGCUGAGGCAAGAGGAUUUUGAGUUCAAGGCCAGCCUCAGCAAUUCAACAAGGUUCUAAGCAACUUAGUGAGACCCUGUCUCUA
rnacentral:sRNA from 1 species